rnacentral:rRNA from 1 species
UACGGAGGGUGCAAGCGUUAUCCGGAUUCACUGGGUUUAAAGGGUGCGUAGGCGGGCAGGUAAGUCAGUGGUGAAAUCUCCAAGCUUAACUUGGGAACUGCCGUUGAUACUAUCUGUCUUGAAUGUUGUGGAGGUGAGCGGAAUGUGUCAUGUAGCGGUGAAAUGCGUAGAGAGGACAUAGAACACCAAGUGCGAAGGCAGCUCACUACACAAAUAUUGACGCUGAGGCACGAAAGCGUGGGGAUCAAACAGG